UAAACCGGAGGAAGGUGGGGAUGACGUCAAAUCAUCAUGCCCCUUAUGUCCUGGGCUACACACGUACUACAAUGGCCGGUACAAAGGGCGGCGAAGGGGUGACCCGGAGCAAAUCCCAGCAAAACCGGUCUCAGUUCGGAUUGUAGUCUGCAACUCGACUACAUGAAGUCGGAAUCGCUAGUAAUCGCAGGUCAGCAUACUGCGGUGAAUACGUUCCCGGGCCUU
rnacentral:rRNA from 1 species